AUUUUGGACAAUGGGGGAAACCCUGAUCCAGCAAUGCCGCGUGUGUGAAGAAGGCCUUCGGGUUGUAAAGCACUUUUGUCCGGAACGAAACGGGUCGAGCUAAUAUCUUGGCCUAAUGACGGUACCGGAAGAAUAAGCACCGGCUAACUACGUGCCAGCCGCCGCGGUAAUACGUAGGGUGCAAGCGUUAAUCGGAAUUACUGGGCGUAAAGCGUGCGCAGGCGGUUGUGCAAGACAGAUGUGAAAUCCCCGGGCUCAACCUGGGAACUGCAUUUGUGACUGCACGGCUAGAGUGUGUCAGAAGGGGGUAGAAUUCCACGUGUAGCAGUGAAAUGCGUAGAGAUGUGGAGGAAUACCGAUGGCGAAGGCAGCCCCCUGGGAUAACACUGACGCUCAUGCACGAAAGCGUGGGGAGCAAAC
rnacentral:rRNA from 1 species